rnacentral:rRNA from 1 species
AAGCCAGACUCCUACGGGAGGCAGCAGUGGGGAAUAUUGCACAAUGGGGGAAACCCUGAUGCAGCAACGCCGCGUGAGUGAGGAAGUAUUUCGGUAUGUAAAGCUCUAUCAGCAGGGAAUAGAAAAGAAGGUACCUGAAAAAGAAGCCCCGGCUAACUACGUGCCAGCAGCCGCGGUAAUACGUAGGGGGCAAGCGUUAUCCGGAUUCACUGGGUGUAAAGGGAGCGUAGACGGCCAAGCAAGCCAGGGGUGAAAGCCCGGGGCCCAACCCCGGGACUGCCCUUGGAACUGCAUGGCUGGAGUGCGGGAGGGGCAGGCGGAAUUCCUAGUGUAGCGGUGAAAUGCGUAGAUAUUAGGAGGAACACCGGUGGCGAAGGCGGCCUGCUGGACGACGACUGACGCUGAGGCUCGAAAGCGUGGGGAGCAAACAGGAUUAGAUACCCCCGUAGAC